AACUUUUGUGGUCGGUUCCAUGGUUCAUCUGACGAUCUGGAGAAUCCACUUAGAAACAGAGGGAAGAUGUGACAGAGUGACAGAUUAACUGAAAGACAGAGAGAAGACAGAGAGCAACAAAAUGGAGGACGAGAAGAGCUUUGACCCCGGAGACAGGAUCCUCAAGUUUGUCAACAGACAGGAUGAUAUUAGGGUCUUAUCAGGAAGUGCGUAGGCUGGCUGCGCUGACUGCCAAGGAAAAACAGUAUUUCGAGGAGAUCAUUGCAACCUUGGCUUCCACCAAGUACUGUGAAACUAAAUCUUGCCCAGGCUGCAAGUCACUGUUACAGAGACAGAACCCAUCCAGUUUAAGAGUCCAUUGCACAGUAUGCUCUGAAGACAAAGGCCAGACCUACCAGUUCUGCUGGCAAUGUCAGAGGCAGUGGAAAAGUCCAGGCUGGGCUCUGACCGCUGUGGCAACACUGGCUGCUCCAAACAGGAGCUGCAGCUGCUGCCAAAAUGUCCAACCGUCACUGACUGCCAGUCUAUAAGUGCCUGUCCCACCUGUGGCAUACUAUUGGAGCAUGACAAGAUCGGUUGUAAGAAUUUAGCAAAACACUUGGGUGAACUGUUGGAAUCAUGGAAAUAUAAUGAUUAUUCAAAUUCUAUAGUUAGAAUAUAAUA